rnacentral:rRNA from 1 species
UACGAAGGGGGCUAGCGUUGCUCGGAAUUACUGGGCGUAAAGGGCGCGUAGGCGGCGCGGUAAGUCGGGUGUGAAAUCUCGGAGCUUAACUCCGAAACUGCAUUCGAUACUGCCGUGCUUGAGGACUGGAGAGGAGACUGGAAUUUACGGUGUAGCGGUGAAAUGCGUAGAUAUCGUAAGGAAGACCAGUGGCGAAGGCGGGUCUCUGGACAGUUCCUGACGCUGAGGCACGAAGGUCAGGGGAGCAAACGGG